UACGGGUGGUAACAUCCUCAGCCGAGUAGUACUAAUUGCCCGUAAGCUUUAAUUUUAUUAAUAUAUUUUGUAUACAACUUCCCGAUAUGUAUUUAAGCAGCAAGCGCAAGGCAGCAAGCAGAAAGCCACAGAUAGCGAAGCAAACAUUCGCCCUGAUAGCUUUAUGCUUCGUAGCCUUCAGCGUUGAGCUUCUAUAAGAUUUUAUGGUGGUUAUGCCGAGGGUGUUCACCUCUUCCCAUUCCGAACAGAGAAGUUAAGCCCCUCAUGGCCGAUGGUACUGCACCACAAUGCGGGAGAGUAGGUAGCCGCCGUAU
rnacentral:rRNA from 1 species